rnacentral:rRNA from 1 species
GUUACCUACGGGACGCAGCAGUGGGGGAUAUUGCACAAUGGGGGGAACCCUGAUGCAGCGACGCCGCGUGGGUGAAGAAGUAUUUCGGUAUGUAAAGCCCUCUCGGCAGGGAAGAAAUUGGACGGUACCUGACUAAGAAGCCCUGGCUAACUACGUGCCAGCAGCCGCGGUAAUACGUAGGGGGCAAGCGUUAUCCGGAUUCACUGGGUGUAAAGGGAGCGUAGACGGCCAUGCAAGCCAGGAGUGAAAGCCCGGGGCCCAACCCCGGGACUGCUCUUGGAACUGCGCGGCUGGGGUGCAGGAGG